UAGAGCUAAUACAUGCAACCAAGCUCCGACCUUCGUGGGAAGAGCGCUCUUAUUAGACCGAGGCCAACCUGCUGGGCAACUGGCAGUUUGCUGUGGUGACUCUGAAUAAGCACAGUUGAUCGCACGACUCUACGUCGGCGACGUAUCUUUCAAGCGUAUGCCCUAUCAGCUGUCGACGGUAGGGUAGUGGCCUACCGUGGCAUCAACGGGUAACGGGGGAUCAGGGUCCGAUCCCGGAGAGUAAGCCUGAGAGACGGCUUACACAUCUAAGGAAGGCAGCAGGCGCGCAAAUUACCCAAUGGGGACACCCUGAGGUAGUGACAAGAAAUAACAAUACGCGACUCUUUCGAGGCCGCGUAAUUGGAAUGAGCACAGUCUAAAUCCUUUAGCGAGGAUCAAUUGGAGGGCAAGUCUGGUGCCAGCAGCCGCGGUAAUUCCAGCUCCAAUAGCGUAUAUUAAAGUUGCUGCAGUUAAAAARMKYGUAGUUGACAAUCGGUGCUYGUCUCGGCGGUCCUGUUCMCGCAGGCACUGCCUUGAUGGCCUCUACACACUGGCUUGAGGUCGGGCAGGCUGGGCAACUGGCGGUUCGACCAAAGCCCCGGGUGCCCUUUAUUGGGUGCCCGUGGGUGGCCUUUGCGUUUACUUUGAAGAAAUUAGAGUGUUCAAAGCGGGCUAUCUAUAGCUCGGAUACUCGUACAUGGAAUAAUGGAAUAGGACCCUGGGUCAUUUCCGUUGGUCUAUGGCCAUUGGGUAAUGAUUAAAAGGGACUGCCGGGGGCAUUGGUAUGUGUGGGGGGAAGAGGUGAAAUUCCGUGAUCCUCGCCAGACCAACUACAGCGAAAGCAUUUGCCAAGAAUGUCUUCAUUAAUCAAGAACGAAAGUCAGAGGUUCGAAGACGAUCAGAUACCGUCGUAGUUCUGACCAUAAACGAUGCCAGCUUGGAAGUGGCGAUGGUUGUAUUUCAUGACCCCGCCACGGCCCGUCGGGAAACCAUAAGCGUUUGGGUUCCGGGGGAAGUAUGGUUGCAAAGCUGAAACUUAAAGGAAUUGACGGAAGGGCACCACCAGGAGUGGAGCCUGCGGCUUAAUUUGACUCAACACGGGAAAACUCACCCGGCCCGGACACUGCAAGGAUUGACAGAUUGAGAGCUCUUUCUCGAUUCGGUGGAUGGUGGUGCAUGGCCGUUCUUAGUUGGUGGAGUGAUUUGUCUGGUUAAUUCCGAUAACGAACGAGACUCUAGCCUACUAACUAGUUCGCCGAUCUGCUUCUGUGGGUCGGUAAUAAACUUCUUAGAGGGACAAGUGGCGCUUAGCCACGCGAGAUGGAGCAAUAACAGGUCUGUGAUGCCCUUAGAUGUCCGGGGCCGCACGCGCGCUACACUGAAAGAAUCAACGU
rnacentral:rRNA from 1 species